rnacentral:rRNA from 1 species
UGGGGAAUAUUGCACAAUGGGCGAAAGCCUGAUGCAGCAACGCCGCGUGAGUGAUGAAGGCCUUCGGGUUGUAAAGCUCUGUCUUUUGGGACGAUAAUGACGGUACCAAAGGAGGAAGCCACGGCUAACUACGUGCCAGCAGCCGCGGUAAUACGUAGGUGGCAAGCGUUGUCCGGAUUUACUGGGCGUAAAGGAUGCGUAGGCGGAUUUUUAAGUGAGAUGUGAAAACCCUAAGCUUAACUUGGGGACUGCAUUUCAUACUGGAAAUCUAGAGUGCGGGAGAGGAGAAUGGAAUUCCUAGUGUAGCGGUGAAAUGCGUAGAGAUUAGGAAGAACACCAGUGGCGAAGGCGAUUCUCUGGACCGUAACUGACGCUGAGGCAUGAAAAGCGUGGGUAGCAAAACAGGAUUAGAUACCCUGGUAGUCCACGCCGUAAACGAUGAGUACUAGGUGUAGGAGGUAUCGACCCCUUCUGUGCCGCAGUUAACACAAUAAGUACUCCGCCUGGGAAGUACGAUCGCAAGAUUAAAAA